GUUUUCUGUUCUUUGGAUGGUGGAUUGUGACAUGGCAGAAAUGUAGAAAGGUUUAGUGCCAGAUGUAUUGUUAGCUUUGACCGACGGAUUUCCACGUCAUCAUCAAAAGAUUCGACUACAGAGGGAAAAGAUGAAGGUGGUACUACUGAUAGUUGGCGUUUCUCUCUUGAUGUGUUCCCUCGACGUGGUACAGGCAGCAUUGUCGACAGUCUUAACCACGGCCCCAAGUACUGGAAAUGGCCCAAGUAGUAGUGGCAGUACAACGGGAUCGGGAUCCGUUAGUGUUAGUGUCCCCGUGGCAACUACUCCUGCCAACGGGACACAAGGCGAAAACAGCGGCUCACAGAGGAUUUUGUUCACAUCGUUUUCCGUCUUUAUCAUGGCCAUUUUUUUCGCCAUUACAAAUAUUGCUUUGGCUUAAGUGGGCGGCUUUCCAGCCGAGCAUGUGUCUGACGGCCAUUGAUCGCUUGUGUGAUAUUUGCAAAGGCAUUGUUCAUGAAUUGCUUACCUUGUGAUAUAUAAACGUGGCAUGCAAUGACGAAAACAUAUGUUUUUAGAAUACCAGUGUUAUGUGAAAUACAUAGAAUCCAAAUAUUUAUCUCACAUCAAAUUUGUUAAGAACAUGCUCCGAAAUUAAAAUAACAAUUAUGCCAAUCACAUUUCCUUGACAUGCUAUUUUAUUGAAAUAUUUGCUAUGUUUAUAUGGCUAUGUACUGAUUGUAUUCGCCAAUAAAAUUGUCUGUCUG